rnacentral:rRNA from 2 species
AUGCCCUGGCAGUCAGAGGCGAUGAAGGGCGUGCUAAUCUGCGAUAAGCGCCGGUAAGGUGAUAUGAACCGUUAUAACCGGCGAUACCCGAAUGGGGAAACCCAGUGUGACUCGUCACACUAUCAUUAACUGAAUCCAUAGGUUAAUGAGGCGAACCGGGGGAACUGAAACAUCUAAGUACCCCGAGGAAAAGAAAUCAACCGAGAUUCCCCCAGUAGCGGCGAGCGAACGGGGAGGAGCCCAGAGCCUGAAUCAGCAUGUGUGUUAGUGGAAGCGUCUGGAAAGGCGCGCGAUACAGGGUGACAGCCCCGUACACAAAAGCGCAUGUGCUGUGAGCUCGAUGAGUAGGGCGGGACACGUGGUAUCCUGUCUGAAUAUGGGGGGACCAUCCUCCAAGGCUAAAUACUCCUGACUGACCGAUAGUGAACCAGUACCGUGAGGGAAAGGCGAAAAGAACCCCGGCGAGGGGAGUGAAAAAGAACCUGAAACCGUGUACGUACAAGCAGUGGGAGCCCCACCACCAAAGCAUUUGCUGUACCGCGUUGACGGAGCGAAGCGACGUCAAACCGAUAAAACAGCAGUGUAAAGUGAGCCGCAGGGCGCUUUGCGCGACAGCGCAAAGGCAGGCGGUUUCGCGUAGCGAAAGCGAAUGCUUUGGGGUGGGGUGACUGCGUACCUUUUGUAUAAUGGGUCAGCGACUUAUAUUCUGUAGCAAGGUUAACCGAAUAGGGGAGCCGGAGGGAAACCGAGUCUUAAUUGGGCGUUAAGUUGCAGGGUAUAGACCCGAAACCCGGUGAUCUAGCCAUGGGCAGGUUGAAGGUUGGGUAACACUAACUGGAGGACCGAACCGACUAAUGUUGAAAAAUUAGCGGAUGACCUGUGGCUGGGGGUGAAAGGCCAAUCAAACCGGGAGAUAGCUGGUUCUCCCCGAAAGCUAUUUAGGUAGCGCCUCGUGAAUUCAUCUCCGGGGGUAGAGCACUGUUUCGGCUAGGGGGCCAUCCCGGCUUACCAACCCGAUGCAAACUGCGAAUACCGGAGAAUGUUAUCACGGGAGACACACGGCGGGUGCUAACGUCCGUCGUGAAGAGGGAAACAACCCAGACCGCCAGCUAAGGUCCCAAAGUCAUGGUUAAGUGGGAAACGAUGUGGGAAGGCCCAGACAGCCAGGAUGUUGGCUUAGAAGCAGCCAUCAUUUAAAGAAAGCGUAAUAGCUCACUGGUCGAGUCGGCCUGCGCGGAAGAUGUAACGGGGCUAAACCAUGCACCGAAGCUGCGGCAGCGACACUGUGUGUUGUUGGGUAGGGGAGCGUUCUGUAAGCCUGUGAAGGUGUGUCGUGAGGCAUGCUGGAGGUAUCAGAAGUGCGAAUGCUGACAUAAGUAACGAUAAAGCGGGUGAAAAGCCCGCUCGCCGGAAGACCAAGGGUUCCUGUCCAACGUUAAUCGGGGCAGGGUGAGUCGACCCCUAAGGCGAGGCCGAAAGGCGUAGUCGAUGGGAAACGGGUUAAUAUUCCCGUACUUGGUGUUACUGCGAAGGGGGGACGGAGAAGGCUAUGUUGGCCGGG